AAGUCGUAACAAGGUUUCCGUAGGUGAACCUGCGGAAGGAUCAUUAAAAGAGCAACGGUCCCCCGGGGCCCGACCUCCCACCCUUGAAGUCACAAAACACCGUUGCCUCGGCGGCGCGCCGGGCCCGCCCCCACGGGGUGAGGACCCUCGCCCGCCGGAGGACAGUCCGAACACUCCGAUGAACAGUCCGUCCGAGUCAGAUCAUACAAUAAUGAAUCAAAACUUUCAACAACGGAUCUCUUGGUUCUG
rnacentral:misc_RNA from 1 species